rnacentral:tRNA from 1 species
AAAUAACUAACUUAACGGUAGAGUAUUUCGCUUACAACGAAAAUGUUAACGGUUCAAAUCCGUUGUUAUUUA